GGCCUGGCAGGGAUGUAGCUCAGUUGGUAGAGCAUGGCGUUUGGAACGCCAGGUUGUGGGUUCGAUACCCACGGGGGCCA